rnacentral:rRNA from 1 species
UUGGUCAAUUUAAGAGAAGUAAAAGUCGUAACAAGGUUUCCGUAGGUGAACCUGCGGAAGGAUCAUUAUUGAGAUUUAUGGGCUUCGUGCCUACAAUAUCCAAACCCCCCUUCAAUGUUAUUCUCAGCCUUUUCUUGAGGCUGACAGUUGCUUUGGUGGGUUGGAGAAAGCUCAAACCAAGGCUGAGACAAUAAAGACGAAGACAUAUAUUAUAUGGCGAACCUUCAGCGUCUUCAGCCAGAGCACCCACAAGGCACAAAAGAGAGAGCGAGAUGAUGCAAGUGAUUGCUGUUAUUGCGAUACUCGAUUGGCGCCCACCAGAAACUUGUUUUCAAACGAUGUGAAUAUUUCAAUAAGUCUGAAUGAAUAUAUAAAUCUUUAAAACUUUCAACAACGGAUCUCUUGGUUCUGGCAUCGAUGAAGGACGUAGCAAACUGCGAUAAGUGAUGUGAAUUGCAGAAUCUCGUGAACCAUCGAAUCUUUGAACGCACAUUGCGCCCUCUGGCAAUCCAGAGGGCACGCCUGUUCGAGCGUCUUUUUUUAAAGUCAAGUUUAUUAUGCUUGGUUUUGGGAGCUUAUCUGGUUGGCUUUGUUUAGACAGAUCCAACCCUCCUGCAAAAAGUUGGCGACCAGGGCCACAGGCACUCCAGUCAUAGCACAAUCUCUUGGCUUUGAGUGUUUGGUUAGGUCAGCCUUAUACAGUCAUUGAGGUGAUGAGAAGAAUGCACAGUCAAUCUGUGGGUUUUUGAAUCAUCUUGAUGCACCAGCAGCACUUUGUUGUGGCUGUUAUUUCUUGACCUCGAAUCAGUGGGAGGACCCGCUGAACUUAA